rnacentral:rRNA from 1 species
GAUGAACGCUGGCGGCGUGCCUAAUACAUGCAAGUCGAGCGAACGGACGAGAAGCUUGCUUCUCUGAUGUUAGCGGCGGACGGGUGAGUAACACGUGGAUAACCUACCUAUAAGACUGGGAUAACUUCGGGAAACCGGAGCUAAUACCGGAUGAUAUUUUGAACCGCAUGGUUCAAAAGUGAAAGACGGUCUUGCUGUCACUUAUAGAUGGAUCCGCGCUGCAUUAGCUAGUUGGUAAGGUAACGGCUUACCAAGGCAACGAUGCAUAGCCGACCUGAGAGGGUGAUCGGCCACACUGGAACUGAGACACGGUCCAGACUCCUACGGGAGGCAGCAGUAGGGAAUCUUCCACAAUGGGCGAAAGCCUGACGGAGCAACGCCGCGUGAGUGAUGAAGGUCUUCGGAUCGUAAAACCCUGUUAUUAGGGAAGAACAUAUGUGUAAGUAACUGUGCACAUCUUGACGGUACCUAAUCAGAAAGCCACGGAUAACUACGUG